GAGAACUUUGCCUUUUGCGCUGAGUGAAAUGGGGACUUGCUGGAGAGUUUCGAGCCUAGCGGUAACAUAAUUGACUUAGAGUUUAAAAGCAUCACUUUGGCUACUGGGCCAUGAAGAGACUGUUGAGAGAGGCAGAGGUAGAAAUAGACAGUCCAAGUUGGAGGCCAUCCUGGUGAGAAGCAGUAGUGGUUUGGUGGAAGUAACCAGAAGCAGCUGGAUCCAACUUAGAGCUGUUGGCAUCUUUUGUUUCAUAUUCAGGGCUAGGCAACUCAGCUUAUACAGAUGGGCCUAAAACUGAAAAUGAGAGGAAAGCCCCCCUCCCCUCUUACUCUGCCAGACUUGCUCCAAAAGAAACCAGACUACAGUGUGCCUUGCUCCUUUUAGGAGGAGCAAAAGCAAAAUCUCACGUGUCUAAUGUGUUUUGUUUGCAAAGCCAUUUCUGAAUGUUGAGGAGGCAGGCACUUCUGGAGUCUUGAUGAAUCUUAUUUUGCUGUCUCGGAAAAAUGGAAAAGGCAUCCUAACGGAUAGUCUUCUUUAAAAAGUCAGUGUACAGUUUCCAUCCAGAGAAAUGUUCAGCCCUCAAAUGUGUAGCUUGUCCGACACCAGGCGUGGGACAUCUAGCAGAAGAAAGAAGAGGACCGAUCUGAGUAGACUGUGACAGAGAAUUCCUAGGGUGCUCACCAGCUCUUUCCCUUUCCCCCGGGCAACACAGCUCUACUGCAUUUCCCAGCUCCCCUUGCAGUUAGGUGGGACCAUGUGACUGAGUUCUGUCCAGUGGAAGGUGGAAGGGGUAAUUACUCUACUCUGGGAUGGGCUUAUAAAAGCUCGUGCAUAGCCCUCUGAAGUUUAUUUCUUCCCCACUGUGCUGGCUGCAUGCAGAGGAUUUAGAAGACUCCAAGGCCCUCAGGGGUGGUAGAGCCGUCAGACAGAAGGAGCCCUGGGUCCCAGAGUUACCGCAUAGAAGGCUGUCUGCCACCACCUGAUCGGCUUUCACAUGAAGGAGAAGUGAACUCUUCUUGUGAGAUUUAGGGGACAUUUCUUACAGCAAUUAACUGACCCUGACUGACAUAGAGGUACAGCACAGGGAGAAAAAAGGUCUGGUUUUCCUGAAAAUGAACAGAUGACAAAAGUACUCCAAAGUAUUUGGCAUCAUUUCAUGAAAUAAAAGAGACUUUAAACUGUAUAGUCUUUUUUUUUUUUUCCUGAGAGACAUAAAGAGCUUCUGUGUGGGACCAGAGCAGGGUAACAGCUUUUCUCAAAUAAGCAAAUGCAAAUAAAAACUUGUUAACAGAAUUGUAGUUUCUAGAGAAAUGUUGCUACCUGGAAUGGAAAGAAUGCAUUCAUAUUCGUUCAUUCAUUCUCUUUCUCUCCCCACAUAUAAAAAUGAUAUACAUAUAUUUGUAACACUUUUAAGAGCUACUUAUAAAGCAACAUGCCCAAGUUAUAAGUUUGCAGCUCAGUGAAUUUUUACACAUUGGACACACCUCUUUAACUAGAACCUGGAAUGAGAAACGGCAUUCACAGCCCUCUGGAAAUCCUGAAACUUCCUUUCCUGUCACACCUCCCCAGGUGGCCAUUAUCUUGACUUCUAAUGUUGUGGAAUCAUCCAGUAUGUGCUUUUUGAUACAUGGAUAUUGUUUUUUUUUGGUCAAAAUUUUA